CAGGUGGUGCGAUGGUUGUCGUCAGCUCGUGUCGUGAGAUGUUGGGUUAAGUCCCGCAACGAGCGCAACCCUCGACCUUAGUUGCCAGCAUUCAGUUGGGCACUCUAAGGUGACUGCCGGCUAAAAGUCGGAGGAAGGUGGGGAUGACGUCAAAUCAUCAUGCCCCUUAUGACCUGGGCUACACACGUGCUACAAUGGGCGGUACAAAGGGUCGCGAACCCGCGAGGGGGAGCCAAUCCCAAAAAGCCGCUCUCAGUUCGGAUUGCAGGCUGCAACUCGCCUGCAUGAAGCCGGAAUCGCUAGUAAUCGCGGACCAGCAUGCCGCGGUGAAUACGUUCCCGGGCCUU
rnacentral:rRNA from 1 species